rnacentral:rRNA from 1 species
GUGGGGAAUAUUGGACAAUGGGCGAAAGCCUGAUCCAGCCAUGCCGCGUGUGUGAAGAAGGUCUUCGGAUUGUAAAGCACUUUAAGUUGGGAGGAAGGGCAGUAAGUUAAUACCUUGCUGUUUUGACGUUACCGACAGAAUAAGCACCGGCUAACUUCGUGCCAGCAGCCGCGGUAAUACGAAGGGUGCAAGCGUUAAUCGGAAUUACUGGGCGUAAAGCGCGCGUAGGUGGUUUUGUAAGUUGGAGGUGAAAUCCCCGGGCUCAACCUGGGAACUGCCUCCAAAACUGCAUGACUAGAGUAAGGUAGAGGGUAGUGGAAUUUCCUGUGUAGCGGUGAAAUGCGUAGAUAUAGGAAGGAACACCAGUGGCGAAGGCGACUACCUGGACUGAUACUGACACUGAGGUGCGAAAGCGUGGGGAGCAAACAGGAUUAGAAACCCCUGUAGUCC